GCGCAAGCCUGACGGAGCAACGCCGCGUGGGGGACGAAGGCCUCUGGGCUGUAAACCUCUUUUCUCAAGGAAGAAGAUCUGACGGUACUUGAGGAAUAAGCCACGGCUAAUUCCGUGCCAGCAGCCGCGGUAAUACGGGAGUGGCGAGCGUUAUCCGGAAUUAUUGGGCGUAAAGCGUCCGCAGGCGGCCUUUCAAGUCUGCUGUUAAACCGUGGAGCUUAACUCCAUCAUGGCAGUGGAAACUGUUGGGCUUGAGUGUGGUAGGGGCAGAGGGAAUUCCCGGUGUAGCGGUGAAAUGCGUAGAUAUCGGGAAGAACACCAGUGGCGAAGGCGCUCUGCUGGGCCAUCACUGACGCUCAUGGACGAAAGCCAGGGGAGCG
rnacentral:rRNA from 1 species